rnacentral:rRNA from 1 species
UACGUAGGGGGCGAGCGUUGUCCGGAUUUAUUGGGCGUAAAGAGCUCGUAGGCGGUUUGGUAAGUCGGGUGUGAAAUCUCCACGCUCAACGUGGAGGGGCCACUCGAUACUGCCAUGACUCGAGUCCGGUAGAGGAGUGUGGAAUUCCCGGUGUAGCGGUGAAAUGCGCAGAUAUCGGGAGGAACACCGGUGGCGAAGGCGGCCAUCUGGACCGCAACUGACGCUGAGGCGCGAAAGCGUGGGGAGCAAACAGG